GAUGAACGCUGGCGGCGUGCCUAAUACAUGCAAGUCGAACGAAACUUCUUUAUCACCGAGUGCUUGCACUCACCGAUAAAGAGUUGAGUGGCGAACGGGUGAGUAACACGUGGGCAACCUGCCCAAAAGAAGGGGAUAACACUUGGAAACAGGUGCUAAUACCGCAUAACCAUAGUUACCGCAUGGUAACUAUGUAAAAGGUGGCUAUACUACCGCUUUUGGAUGGGCCCGCGGCGCAUUAGCUAGUUGGUAGGGUAAAGGCUUACCAAGGCAAUGAUGCGUAGCCGAAUUGAGAGGUUGAUCGGCCACAUUGGGACUGAGACACGGCCCAAACUCCUACGGGAGGCAGCAGUAGGGAAUCUUCCACAAUGGGCGAAAGCCUGAUGGAGCAACGCCGCGUGGGUGAAGAAGGUCUUCGGAUCGUAAAACCCUGUUGUUAGAGAAGAAAGUGCGUGAGAGUAACUGUUCACGUUUCGACGGUAUCUAACCAGAAAGCCACGGCUAACUACGUG
rnacentral:rRNA from 1 species